rnacentral:rRNA from 1 species
AGUGAACGCUGGCGGUAGGCCUAACACAUGCAAGUCGAACGGCAGCACAGUAAGAGCUUGCUCUUACGGGUGGCGAGUGGCGGACGGGUGAGGAAUACAUCGGAAUCUACUUUUUCGUGGGGGAUAACGUAGGGAAACUUACGCUAAUACCGCAUACGACCUACGGGUGAAAGCAGGGGAUAUUCGGACCUUGCGCGAUUGAAUGAGCCGAUGUCGGAUUAGCUAGUUGGCGGGGUAAAGGCCCACCAAGGCGACGAUCCGUAGCUGGUCUGAGAGGAUGAUCAGCCACACCGGAACUGAGACACGGUCCAGACUCCUACGGGAGGCAGCAGUGGGGAAUAUUGGACAAUGGGCGCAAGCCUGAUCCAGCCAUACCGCGUGGGUGAAGAAGGCCUUCGGGUUGUAAAGCCCUUUUGUUGGGAAAGAAAAGCAGCAGGUUAAUACCCCGCUGUUCUGACGGUACCCAAAGAAUAAGCACCGGCUAACUUCGUG